AUUGAACGCUGGCGGCAGGCCUAACACAUGCAAGUCGAACGAGUGGCGGACGUGUGAGUAAUGUCUGGGAAACUGCCCGAGGGAGGGGGAUAACUACUGGAAACGGUAGCUAAUACCGCAUACAAUCGGAUGUGCACAGAUGGGAUUAGCGAGUAGGUGGGGUAACGGUUCACCUAGGCGACGAUCCCUAGCUGGUUUGAGAGGAUGACCGGCCACACUGGAACUGAGACACGGUCCAGACUCCUACGGGAGGCAGCAGUGGGGAAUCUUGCACAAUGGGCGAAAGCCUGAUGCAGCAAUGCCGCGUGUGUGAAGAAGGCCUUCGGGUCGUAAAGUACUUUCAGUGAGGAGGCGGUACUCGAAGAAGAAGUCACGGCUAACUACGUGCCAGCAGCCGCGGUAAUUC
rnacentral:rRNA from 1 species